rnacentral:lncRNA from 1 species
GCAUGGAAAUCUCAUGGUGAAAGGAGUGGUGCAUGGAGAAUAAAUAGGUACAUGGGGUUAGGAAGUUAGUUAACUAAGUUUGGUUGAGUCCUAGUCCAAAUAGGACUCUUGAUUCUUGGUUAAACUCUAAUUAAUUCUUGAACCCAAUCCUAAUUAACUUAAGAAUUAGUUAGAACAAAAUAACUAAUUAGAUCCAGUCCAAUUAGGAAAUCAAUUAGGCCCUAAUCCAAUUAGAAAAUUAGUUAGAUAAAAACUCCAUCAAUCUAGGGAUUGAUUUCUUGGAUAUAAGA